CCUCGGGUGGCUGCAGUGGGGAAUAUUGGACAAUGGGCGAAAGCCUGAUCCAGCCAUGCCGCGUGUGUGAAGAAGGCCUUCGGGUUGUAAAGCACUUUCAGUGGGGAAGAAAGCCUUGGGGCUAAUACCCUCGAGGAAGGACAUCACCCACAGAAGAAGCACCGGCUAACUCCGUGCCAGCAGCCGCGGUAAUACGGAGGGUGCGAGCGUUAAUCGGAAUUACUGGGCGUAAAGCGCGCGUAGGCGGUCUGAUAAGCCGGUUGUGAAAGCCCCGGGCUCAACCUGGGAACGGCAUCCGGAACUGUCAGGCUAGAGUGCAGGAGAGGAAGGUAGAAUUCCCGGUGUAGCGGUGAAAUGCGUAGAGAUCGGGAGGAAUACCAGUGGCGAAGGCGGCCUUCUGGACUGACACUGACGCUGAGGUGCGAAAGCGUGGGUAGCAAACAGGAUUAGAUCCCGUGUAGUC
rnacentral:rRNA from 1 species